rnacentral:rRNA from 1 species
UACGUAGGUGGCAAGCGUUGUUCGGAAUUAUUGGGCGUAAAGAGCUCGUAGGCGGCUCGUCGCGUCGGCUGUGAAAACCCGGGGCUCAACCCCGGGCCUGCAGUCGAUACGGGCGGGCUAGAGUCCGGUAGGGGAGACUGGAAUUCCUGGUGUAGCGGUGAAAUGCGCAGAUAUCAGGAGGAACACCGGUGGCGAAGGCGGGUCUCUGGUACGUGACUGACGCUGAGACGCGAAAGCGUGGGGAGCAAACAGG